AAAAAAUGGGGUCCGGUACAGUCGUGGGGACUAAGGCUCUCCUCCUUUCUCUUCUCCUCGUUGCUGUCCUUUUCUCUCCAGCUUCUGCGAGGUUCCGCGUCGAAAGAACGGUUCCGACUGGCGGUUGCGUUGGCUUCUGCGAUGUGGUUGGCGACUGCGGCGUAGAGUGCUCGAACCAUGGCUACUCCGGAGGAGCAUGUGCUGGAAGUGCGAUUGAUAGGAAAAUCUGUUGCUGCAUUCUUUAGUGUCCCUACUUUUACUUUUGAAUAAAUCUGGACCGUUAAUAAUAGUAUUAUUUUGAAUAAAGUGUAUAAGAACCGUUGCAUACGCUA